GAUGAAGAACGUAGUGAAAUGCGAUAAGUAGUGUGAAUUGCAGAAUUCAGUGAAUCAUCGAAUCUUUGAACGCACAUUGCGCCCCUUGGUAUUCCAUGGGGCAUGCCUGUUCGAGCGUCAUUUGUACCUUCAAGCUUUGCUUGGUGUUGGGUGUUUGUCCCGAGGGACUCGCCUUAAAGUAAUUGGCAGCCAGUGUUUGGUUUUGAAGCGCAGCACAAGUCGCGAUUCAAGGCUACACGCCCGCUUCCACAAGCCUUUUUUCACUUUUGACCUCGGAUCAGGUAGGGAUACCCGCUGAACUUAAGCAUAUCAAUAAGCGGAGA
rnacentral:misc_RNA from 1 species